ACCGGUAUGAGCGUCUACUACGUGCCAGGUCCAACGAACUCUCGAAUAUUGAUUGGUGCUUGCAUCAUGAUUUACAUUUGAGUGAGUGGCGAACUGGUGAGUAACACGUGGGAAACCUGCCCAGAAGCGGGGGAUAACACCUGGAAACAGAUGCUAAUACCGCAUAACAACUUGGACCGCAUGGUCCGAGUUUGAAAGAUGGCUUCGGCUAUCACUUUUGGAUGGUCCCGCGGCGUAUUAGCUAGAUGGUGGGGUAACGGCUCACCAUGGCAAUGAUACGUAGCCGACCUGAGAGGGUAAUCGGCCACAUUGGGACUGAGACACGGCCCAAACUCCUACGGGAGGCAGCAGUAGGGAAUCUUCCACAAUGGACGAAAGUCUGAUGGAGCAACGCCGCGUGAGUGAAGAAGGGUUUCGGCUCGUAAAACUCUGUUGUUAAAGAAGAACAUAUCUGAGAGUAACUGUUCAGGUAUUGACGGUAUUUAACCAGAAAGCCACGGCUAACUACGUGCCAGCAGCCGCGGUAAUACGUAGGUGGCAAGCGUUGUCCGGAUUUAUUGGGCGUAAAGCGAGCGCAGGCGGUUUUUUAAGUCUGAUGUGAAAGCCUUCGGCUCAACCGAAGAAGUGCAUCGGAAACUGGGAAACUUGAGUGCAGAAGAGGACAGUGGAACUCCAUGUGUAGCGGUGAAAUGCGUAGAUAUAUGGAAGAACACCAGUGGCGAAGGCGGCUGUCUGGUCUGUAACUGACGCUGAGGCUCGAAAGUAUGGGUAGCAAACAGGAUUAGAUACCCUGGUAGUCCAUACCGUAAACGAUGAAUGCUAAGUGUUGGAGGGUUUCCGCCCUUCAGUGCUGCAGCUAACGCAUUAAGCAUUCCGCCUGGGGAGUACGGCCGCAAGGCUGAAACUCAAAGGAAUUGACGGGGGGCCCGCACAAGCGGUGGAGCAUGUGGUUUAAUUCGAAGCUACGCGAAGAACCUUACCAGGUCUUGACAUACUAUGCAAAUCUAAGAGAUUAGACGUUCCCUUCGGGGACAUGGAUACAGGUGGUGCAUGGUUGUCGUCAGCUCGUGUCGUGAGAUGUUGGGUUAAGUCCCGCAACGAGCGCAACCCUUAUUAUCAGUUGCCAGCAUUAAGUUGGGCACUCUGGUGAGACUGCCGGUGACAAACCGGAGGAAGGUGGGGAUGACGUCAAAUCAUCAUGCCCCUUAUGACCUGGGCUACACACGUGCUACAAUGGAUGGUACAACGAGUUGCGAACUCGCGAGAGUAAGCUAAUCUCUUAAAGCCAUUCUCAGUUCGGAUUGUAGGCUGCAACUCGCCUACAUGAAGUCGGAAUCGCUAGUAAUCGCGGAUCAGCAUGCCGCGGUGAAUACGUUCCCGGGCCUUGUACACACCGCCCGUCACGCCAUGAGAGUUUGUAACACCCAAAGUCGGUGGGGUAACCUACUAGAACCACGCCGCCUAAGGUGACAU
rnacentral:rRNA from 1 species